rnacentral:sRNA from 10 species
GAAAGUUGAGUGGUAUUUCCUUCUUCAAAAGAGAAGCUAGCCACCUCAGAGCUCAACUUUCAUGACUCUCACUAUGUUGAUUUAUUUAUGAAAAAAUAAACUACAGAAAGGAAAAGUCUCUGAGCGGUUAAACUGAAAGUCACCUAAUUCCUUGAGUAGAAAUACUAACGAGGAAAUUGAUAGGACCCCAAGUCCUUCAGUUUUAACUAAGAAAGUCCUAGUACCUGGGCACGGGUUUAGGGAGUCCGCAAGAUUCCAUAGAGAUUAGUAGUAGUUGAGUAGGGUUAACCGAAACGAGUGAUUGACGUAAACAAUCGGUGAUGACUUGAUACAGAUGGCAACAUUUGUGGAUACGGAAGGAAACCUUAGUACGGUAUAAUCUUCACAAAAGACAGGUCAGUUAAACGAGUAAUCUCAUCGU